rnacentral:rRNA from 1 species
AUUGAACGCUGGCGGCAGGCCUAACACAUGCACGUCGAACGAGUAGCGGACGGGUGCGUAAUGUCUGGGAAACUGCCCGAUGGAGGGGGAUAACUACUGGAAACGGUAGCUAAUACCGCAUACCAUCGGAUGAGCCCAUAUGGGAUUUGCUAUUAGGUGGGGUAAAGGCUCACCUAGGCGAAGAUCCCUAGCUGGUCUGAGAGGAUGACCAGCCACACUGGAACGGCGACACGGUCCAGACUCCUCCGGGAGGCAGCAGUGGGGAAUAUUGCACAAUGGGCGCAAGCCUGAUGCAGCAAUGCCGCGUGUAUGAAGAAGGCCUUCGGGUUUUAAAGUACUUUCAGCGGGGAGGCGUUACCCGCAGAAGAAGCACCGGCUAACUCCGUGCCAGCAGCCGCGGUAAUUC